ACGCUGGCGGCAUGCCUAAUACAUGCAAGUCGAACGAGAUCUUCGGAUCUAGUGGCGCACGGGUGCGUAACGCGUGGGAAUCUGCCCUUGGGUUCGGAAUAACAGUUGGAAACGACUGCUAAUACCGGAUGAUGACGCCAAAGAAAUUUGGAGUCCAAAGAUUUAUCGCCCAGGGAUGAGCCCGCGUAGGAUUAGCUAGUUGGUGGGGUAAAGGCCUACCAAGGCGACGAUCCUUAGCUGGUCUGAGAGGAUGAUCAGCCACACUGGGACUGAGACACGGCCCAGACUCCUACGGGAGGCAGCAGUAGGGAAUAUUGGACAAUGGGGGCAACCCUGAUCCAGCAAUGCCGCGUGAGUGAUGAAGGCCUUAGGGUUGUAAAGCUCUUUUACCAGAGAUGAUAAUGACAGUAUCUGGGGAAUAAGCCCCGGCUA
rnacentral:rRNA from 1 species